UGUUGUAGAUAUUCUACCAAAAAACUUGGAGCUGAACAGCAUGGUUACAAUCCAAGUGUGUACAUGCAAGCAAGGAUGAAAUAUUGAGCAACACAUUGUUGGACUAGUCCUUAAUCGUCCAGAUUUGACAAUGGUUGUUUGAUUGGAAGAGAAGAUUGACAACUCAAGAAAGACCGAAGUCCACUGGGUUAAAUGGAAGGCCUCGUUUUGUGCAGGUGCACACUGCAACUGCAAGCUGUCCGCAUGGUAGUAAUUCUACUAACUUGGCUUUUUGUCCCACAUGGGAGAGAUAUGAAAUAGUAGUGUAAUAUGGAAGAUAUAAAACACCCAAGCGCUCAGUAAACAAAUCACGCAGCCACGCGGUGAGCACAAAGCGAACUAUUCUUUCGCCUUUUACUAAAGAAUACCGUGUGCGCGCCGCAAAUAGUGGCAUACGCCAAUUUUUGGAGGGGUUUCCUCAAUAGAAGCCCCUAAAA